GGAUUGUGGCUUAGUGGUAGAGUGCUUGCCUAGCAUGCAUGAGGCACUGGGUUCGAUCCCCAGCACCA
rnacentral:tRNA from 1 species